GCAGGCAGGACAGGGCUCGGACAGGCUGGGCAACGUGUCCAAGGUAGCAGAGAUGAGCCUAGACUCGGGAUCUAAGACUCUGGAGUGUCCUCCUGGGGAGGAGCUGCAUAAAGUGGAAGAUGCCGUGGGCAUGGAGGCACUGGAGACCUCCUGGACACUCCUCUGCCCCCUGUGCUCUUCUGGGAGUCCAAGUGCUUGAAGAGGGGCCAGGCUGCAGAGUGCAGAGGAGGAAGGAGGAAGGACCCAAUGGGCAGAAUCCAGACUUUCGGCUGGCAUCAGUGAAGGAGUGCCGGAAGCAUUCUGCAGGCUGAGGAGCCAACACCAAAGCACAGGGGCCUCCGAGGAGCCAGCAGCCCCAGAGCCCCAUUCCCAGCAGCGGGAGAUGGCCAGAAAGAAAAAGAACAGAAGCCCAGCAUGUCACGGCUCCAGGCCUAAGGAGUUACUGACUGGUGGACAGUGUGUGCUGCUGGGGACAGACCCUGCGACCCUGCCCUCCCCCUCCGAGCUUGGAGUCAGCUGUAGGUACGGGGGAAAGGGAAACCAAUGUGAACGGGACCAUCACCACAGCUGUCCUGGGCAAAGGCU